GACGAACGCUGGCGGCGUGCUUAACACAUGCAAGUCGAGCGGAGUGGCGAACGGGUGAGUAACGCGUGAGUAACUGCCCCCCUCCCUGGGAUAACAGUUGGAAACGGCUGCUAAUACCGGAUAGUGGGGGAUGACUCGCGUCCUAUCAGCGUGUUGGUGGGGUAGUGGCCUACCACGGCGACGACGGGUAGCCGUACUGCGAGGGCGACCGGCCACAGUGGGCUGAGAUACGGCCCAAUCUCCUACGGGAGGCAGCAGUGGGGACUAUUGCACGAGGGGGGAAACCCUGAUGCAGCAACGCGCGGGCGGGAUGUCGGCCUUCGGGUUGUAAACCGCUUUCAGCCAUGACGCGGUAGUGGCAGAAGAAGCACCGGCUAACUACGUGCCAGCAGCCGCGGUAAUUC
rnacentral:rRNA from 1 species